GAUGAAGAACGCAGCGAAAUGCGAUAAGUAGUGUGAAUUGCAGAAUUCAGUGAAUCAUCGAAUCUUUGAACGCACAUUGCGCCCGCCAGUAUUCUGGCGGGCAUGCCUGUUCGAGCGUCAUUUCAACCAUCAAGCCCCCGGCUUGUGUUGGGGACCUGCGGCUGCCGCAGGCCCUGAAAACCAGUGGCGGGCUCGCUAGUCACUCCGAGCGUAGUAAUACAUCUCGCUCAGGGCGUGCUGCGGGUUCCGGCCGUUAAAAAGCCUUAUUUACCCAAGGUUGACCUCGGAUCAGGUAGGAAGACCCGCUGAACUUAAGCAUAUCAAUAAGCGGAGGA
rnacentral:misc_RNA from 1 species